CCUGGCUCAGAGCGAACGCUGGCGGCAGGCCUAACACAUGCAAGUCGAACGGAUCCUUCGGGAUUAGUGGCGGACGGGUGAGUAACACGUGGGAACGUGCCCUUUGGUUCGGAACAACUCAGGGAAACUUGAGCUAAUACCGGAUGUGCCCUUCGGGGGAAAGAUUUAUCGCCAUUGGAGCGGCCCGCGUAGGAUUAGCUAGUUGGUGGGGUAAAGGCCCACCAAGGCUACGAUCCUUAGCUGGUCUGAGAGGAUGAUCAGCCACAUUGGGACUGAGACACGGCCCWAACUCCUACGGGAGGCAGCAGUGGGGAAUCUUGCGCAAUGGGCGAAAGCCUGACGCAGCCAUGCCGCGUGAAUGAUGAAGGUCUUAGGAUUGUAAAAUUCUUUCACCGGGGACGAUAAU
rnacentral:rRNA from 1 species